CCCUAGCCCUGAUAGCAGCGAAAUCCUUCUUGUUUUUUCUUUAAAAACAAGAAGAUUAAAGCGGAUAGCAGGAAUUAGC
rfam:Flavobacterium frigoris PS1 66_18, whole genome shotgun sequence.